GAAAAUUAGAUCAUUUUAUUUUGGCUUCUCUAAUCUACAGCUUGUCUGAAGAUCUGAGAAGAUGAACCACCAUUUUAAGAUGACGCUCAGAGCAGAUAAGCAAGAGGAAGACACCAAAUACGUUCUUUAAGGGCCCAGAUGAUGUUGAUGUUCAGGGUUUCCAAUCUGAAAACAGCAGCUGAGGCCAUGAUGCACUUGGGGCAAAAAGCAAAGACAGAAAAACCUGAAUGACAGUUCAGGAGCUUCCUGAGCAGUGCAAAGCCAUCUAUCUGACUCCUACAACUGUCGUAAUAAGAACUGCCAUCACAGGAGGUGACUUUGCUGAUGAAAAUUGGGAAUGUAUUAACAGUAGUCACACUUAACAGCUACAUCUGUGGGGUUUGCCAGAUGUAAUACAUUUUGAAUAAAGUUGAUCACCAUUGCUUCUUAUUGAUAGGUUGAGCUACCAAAUAAGGAAGCUGAUUUUAAUAUGCAUCCCCAUUGAACUUAAACUGACCACCAAGCUUAUAAUCUCCAGCUGUAGAGACGAGGACACAAAGGGUUAAGUAACCUCCCCAAGUCAUACAAGCAGCCAUGUUGCUGUGACAGAAAGCAUUAUGCAUUCAGGGUCUUGGAGGAGGAAACGUCGCUUCUCAAACAUUCAGCCAAGGUUGUGAAAUCAGAAACGUCCAACUUAUAAUGUUCCGAUACCCUGAUUCUAUUACAGCACUUACUUUUUCCUCUCAAACUGAUACUUCAAAAACUCUGUCUGGGGGCUGGAGAGAUGGCUCAGUGGUUAAGAACACUGAUUGCUCUUCCAGAGGUCCUGAGUUCAAUUCCCAGCAACCACAUGGUAGCUCAAAACCAUCUCUAACGGGAUCGGAUGCCCUCUUCUGGUGUGUCUGAAGACAGCUACAAUAUACUCACAUGAACCAAAAAAAAAAAAAAAAAAAACCCUCUUUGUCCAAGUGAUAAGCAGUUUGAGGGCCAUACUUAGGUCUAGAAUUCCAAAUGUGUACACAGGGUCUUACACACAAUUUAAUGACAAUAUGUUGUAUGUUCAAAUGAAAGAAUUUUUUAACAAAAGGUGUGUGUGUGUAUGUGUGUGCCACGUGUAUGGGUGCAUAUGUGUAUGGAAGCACAUAUAUGUAGGUGCACAUAUGUGUGGAUGCCUUUGGAGGCCAGAAGAGGGUGUCAGAACGCUUGGAGCUGGAGUUGUAGGCAGUUGUGAACAGAAUUCUGAUCUUCUGCAAGAAUGGUCUGUGCUCUUAGCUGUGGAGCUGGCAGUCCUUACACUGUUUUAAUGUUUACUUCAGACUCAAUGCAACUGCCACUCAGAGUGAAUUGGACAAGGACAGGGUAUAGCGGUGACUUCCAAGGUGGUUCGGGCUGGAGUUCUGAUAUGACUGGUCGCUACUGGAUACAGCAGUCUUCCACACCUUCAUAGUGUGUGGAGGUACUGGGUGCCCAAGUGAUCAGGUGAUCCAAAUGCUGUCUUCUUUUAUUCCUCUGGGAGUGUUUUGUUACCUAGGGAUGGGAACACCAUAGCAACUAAGAGAUACAAAUCUUGCUGAAUUGAAUCCUUGUGCUAGAAAUAACCUGGGCAAAGACUAAGCUUAAAACAGAACAGGGAAGGUGUGGGGGAGUUAAAGAUUCGAGGAGAAGGAUAAAACUAUUAAAUCACCCAAAGUUCUGCAUUUGGAUUAAAAUUUUGCUUAACCCGCAAGGCACACUGUUACUCUUCAACAUUCAGGGCCAUUAACAGAAGAAAGUGGAUGGGGGCAGGUGGCCAUCCACAAUGAAAUACUACUAAUAGGAGGUGUAGUCUCUCUAAUGUGUCACCUCACACUGAAGAUAAAGAAACUGGAAGAAAAAAAAAGAGAGAUGGUAUUGGAGGCCUAGACGCUGCUUAAUUUGGCAAUACUGUAAACCUCCUUCCCAGGGGCCCUGCAACCUUUCCAGUCAUGCGACUUAAAGAACGUUAAAGGGACUUCACUAAGGCAGGCCCUGCGCGGUGCACCCCACCCUUCCUGGUAGAGUAAGUUGUGUCAAUAACAAGUUUCUCAGGGGUGCACACGUGAGAAGGCAGGGGUCCUCUGCUGGGGUGGAGCGCCUGGGGAACGUCCAUAAGCCCCGGCUCCCGGGUUUCUGGAAUGCAGCCCCAGCUCCUGGCGAGGCGUGUGGCUGCCAUGCACCGCGGAUGCCAGGCUGGGCGAGUGCAUCCGGGCGGCCGCAUGGCGCUGGUUCCCGGAGGUGGCAGCUGUGCUUUGUGUGCAGCAGAAGGGUGAGUCACCGGGUCCCGCGGUCCGUCCCAAGGCCGGGUGGACUCUCCGGCCGGGUGGCGGAACGAUCCGGGUAAGGGCGGCUCGGAGGCGGCGCUGCGCGUCCCCGGCUCCCGCCU
ensembl:lincRNA